UACGGGGGAGCAAGCGUUGUUCGGAUUUACUGGGCGUAAAGGGCGCGUAGGCGGUCGUGACAAGUCACUUGUGAAAUCUCCGGGCUUAACUCGGAACGGUCAAGUGAUACUGUCGGACUAGAGUACAGAAGGGGCAACUGGAAUUCUCGGUGUAGCGGUGAAAUGCGUAGAUAUCGAGAGGAACACCUGCGGCGAAGGCGGGUUGCUGGGCUGACACUGACGCUGAACUGCGAAAGCUAGGGGAGCGAACGGG
rnacentral:rRNA from 1 species